GACGUAGGGGGCGAGCGUUGUCCGGAUUUAUUGGGCGUAAAGCGUGCGCAGGCGGUUUUGUAAGCCAGAUGUGAAAUCCCCGGGCUUAACCUGGGAAUGGCAUUUGGGACUGCAAGGCUCGAGUGCGGCAGAGGAGACUGGAAUUCCUGGUGUAGCAGUGAAAUGCGUAGAUAUCAGGAGGAACACCGAUGGCGAAGGCAGGUCUCUGGGCUGACACUGACGCUCAUGCACGAAAGCGUGGGGAGCAAACAGG
rnacentral:rRNA from 1 species